CUCGUAGGCGGUUUGUCGCGUCGGGAGUGAAAACACCGGGCUUAACUCGGUGCUGGCUUUCGAUACGGGCAGACUAGAGGUAUGCAGGGGAGAACGGAAUUCCUGGUGUAGCGGUGAAAUGCGCAGAUAUCAGGAGGAACACCGGUGGCGAAGGCGGUUCUCUGGGCAUGUCCUGACGCUGAGGAGCGAAAGUGUGGGGAGCGAACA
rnacentral:rRNA from 1 species